UCCCUUGUGUCGCAAUGGUAGCGAGCCUGACUUGUAUAUAACAGUAUGACUGUUUAGUAGAGAUCAGGAGGUUCUUGGUUCGAGUCCAGGCGGGGGAG
rfam:Pestalotiopsis fici W106-1 unplaced genomic scaffold PFICI_Scf_5, whole genome shotgun sequence.